rnacentral:rRNA from 1 species
GACGAACCGUGCGAACGUUGUUCGGAAUCACUGGGCUUAAAGGGCGCGUAGGCGGCCGGGUUGGUCGUGGGUGAAAUCCCCCAGCUUAACUGGGGAAUUGCCUACGAUACUGCCUGGCUCGAGGGAGGAAGGGGCGGCCGGAACUGUCGGUGGAGCGGUGAAAUGCGUUGAGAUCGACAGGAACGCCGGUGGCGAAAGCGGGCCGCUGGCCCUCUUCUGACGCUGAGGCGCGAAAGCUAGGGGAGCAAACGGG